GAUGAACGCUGGCGGCGUGCCUAAUACAUGCAAGUCGAGCGAACAGAUGAGGAGCUUGCUCCUCUGACGUUAGCGGCGGACGGGUGAGUAACACGUGGAUAACCUACCUAUAAGACUGGGAUAACUUCGGGAAACCGGAGCUAAUACCGGAUAAUAUAUUGAACCGCAUGGUUCAAUAGUGAAAGACGGUUUUGCUGUCACUUAUAGAUGGAUCCGCGCCGCAUUAGCUAGUUGGUAAGGUAACGGCUUACCAAGGCGACGAUGCGUAGCCGACCUGAGAGGGUGAUCGGCCACACUGGAACUGAGACACGGUCCAGACUCCUACGGGAGGCAGCAGUAGGGAAUCUUCCGCAAUGGGCGAAAGCCUGACGGAGCAACGCCGCGUGAGUGAUGAAGGUCUUCGGAUCGUAAAACUCUGUUAUUAGGGAAGAACAAAGGUGUAAGUAACUAUGCACGUCUUGACGGUACCUAAUCAGAAAGCCACGGCUAACUACGUG
rnacentral:rRNA from 1 species